rnacentral:rRNA from 1 species
UACGAGGGGUGCAAGCGUUAAUCGGAAUUACUGGGCGUAAAGCGCGCGUAGGCGGCUUGAUAAGUCGGAUGUGAAAGCCCUGGGCUCAACCUGGGAACUGCAUCCAGAACUGCCAAGCUAGAGUAUGGUAGAGGGCAGUGGAAUUUCCGGUGUAGCGGUGAAAUGCGUAGAGAUCGGAAGGAACACCAGUGGCGAAGGCGACUGCCUGGACCAAUACUGACGCUGAGGUGCGAAAGCGUGGGGAGCAAACAGGAUUAGAUACCCUUGUAGU